rnacentral:lncRNA from 1 species
GAAUUAUUUCUCACCAGUUAUUUCCCCAAGAAUGGAGACAUAAAAAGAUCCAAGCACCGGUAUGUCCCAGGCUCUUCGCAUACAUCAAAUCACAUAAACAACCUGUAAAGCCUCGACCCAUAGUCGAGAAGAGAAAUGCCCUUACCUUUAAUCUUGAAAAGGUUAUUGCCAGUUGGUGUCUAUCAAUACUAGGCCACAACGAAAACUCCACUACCAUCACUGAAGACGCUUUGACUAGAAUUAAAACGAUUACUUGGCAGCCGCACAAGUUACAUUAUGGCCGUAUUCGAUUAUGACAAUUUAUAUCCUUCACUAAAGUUAGAGCCAGUCUGUUUAGCGCUAUAUAGAUUCAUGCUUGGAAACCUACCAAAUGGCCAGGGAAGAGAAAAACUUUUGAGGGACAUCGUCCACUUACUUUGUUACGAUUCUUAUUUUACUUUUCGUGGUACGUACUACCAACAAACUAAAGGGGUUCCCAUUGGAAGUCCAGUAGCCCAUUGGCCGAAAUUAUCUUAAGAGAGGUUGAGUGUACCGUCAUACCCAGGUUUGGGCCCCACCUUGUCAAGUUUGUGAGGU